UGUCCGUCAUAGACUGUCUAUGUGAUAAGGCAGGACAGAACAGAGAGAUCAGUGAGAGCAGAGAUGGAGGAAGCUUUGCUGGGGAAGAAUGGAACAGGCAGAGCUGGGAAAGAAGAAGACAUGGCGGAGAUCAAGAGCGUGAAGCAGUUCGGUAUUGCAUGGGCAGAGGAGAACAAGCGUCUGUGGUACUUGGCCGGCCCCUCCAUCUUCACCUCCAUCUGUCGCUACUCCCUCGGCGCCACCACCCAAGUCUUCGCCGGCCACCUUACCACCCUCGAGCUCGACGCCGUCUCCACUGAGAACAUGGUCAUAGCCGGCCUCGCCUUCGGGAUCAUGAUGGGGAUGGGGAGCGCCCUGGAGACGCUCUGCGGGCAAGCCUACGGCGCGAAGCAGUUCCACAUGCUCGGCGUGUACAUGCAGCGUUCGUGGCUCAUCCUCCUCGCCAUGUCCGCCUGCCUCCUCCCUGUCUACCUCUUCGCAACUCCUCUCCUCCGGCUGUUCAAGCAGGACGAAGACAUCGCGGUCCUCGCCGGCCGCUUCGCCCUCUACAUGAUCCCCCAGUUGUUCGCGUACGCCCUCAAUUUCCCCAUCUCUAAGUUCCUGCAGGCGCAGAGCAAGGUCCUGGUCAUGGCCGGCAUCGCCGCCUUCGCCCUUGUCUUCCACGUCGCCCUCACUUGGCUCCUCGUCGGCCACUUCCGGCUCGGCCUCCCUGGUGCGGCGGUGUCUCUCAACUUGGCCUGGUGGACCGUGGUGGGAGGCCAGUUCGCGUAUAUCGCCAUGGGGAACUGCCCCGGCGCAUGGAACGGCUUCAGCUGGGCAGCCUUCACAGGAUUAGGCUCCUUCGUGUGGCUUUCCAUUGGAUCUGCCAUAAUGCUCUGUCUCGAGUUCUGGUACUAUAUGAUACUAAUCGUCCUAGUUGGCCAUUUGAAAGAUGCUCAAAUUGCAGUUGCUGCCGUAUCCAUCUGCAACAACAUCAAUGGGUGGGAGUUCAUGGUGUUCUUCGGCUUCAACGUAGCGAUCAGUGUGCGGAUAUCGAACGAGCUGGGAGCAGGGAGGCCUCGAGCGGCUAAGUUCUCGAUCCUCUGCGUCCUCAUCUCGUCCUUGACGCUGGGCAUCAUCUUCUUCAGCUUGGUGUUGGCUUUCAGAGACGUCUACGGAGUUCCCUUCACCAACAGCCCCGACGUGGUGCGCGCCGUUUCCGACCUCGCCGUCGUCUUCGCCUUCACUCUCCUCCUCAACAGCGUCCAACCCGUGCUAUCCGGUGUUGCAGUAGGAGCAGGAUGGCAGUGGCUGGUCGCCUACGUUAACCUGGGUUGUUACUAUGGAGUUGGGAUCCCGAUAGGGUGCCUUUUGGCAUUCUAUUAUAAUUUUGGGGUUAAGGGAAUGUGGAGUGGCAUGCUGGCUGGAGUGUGCUUACAGACUGUAAUUAUAGUCGUCAUCACGGCAGGGACCAAUUGGAAAAAGGAGGCAAUGAAAGCAGGUUCUCGAAUAAGGAAGUGGGGAGGAGAAGAUGAAACAAGGGAUGGUUCUGGAGUCAUUGCGGGACCUCAAAGGCUCACAUAACCAUAUUAAAAUGUGUUUCAGAGAAUAACUUCUUUGGCAGAAGAAGCUCAAGGUCAAGAAGAUGGAACAGAUGACGGCAACGGCCAACGGAUGAGGUAACGACCGGUGGACGGAAUGACGGCCGCCGACCACUAGUGACUGAUUGGUGCAGAAAAAAGAACUAUAAAAAAUGCUCGCGGAAGGCCAUUGAGAGCUGCACCAACCCACCUUGAGAGAACUCCGCAGGAUUUAGUGGAAGAGCAACUCAUAUCUCUCGACAGAGCUCUGCUGGAUCGAGUGGAAGGGGAACUCAACUCGGUGUGUGUUGCGUGAGCUUACAAGAGGGCACUUGGAGCUCCACUUAGAAGGAGCCCCAUCAGGGAUCAAGCAUAAGUAUAGCUCAACUCAAGUUGCACCACCUUGAGGGAGCUGGGUAGAGAGAGCGCAAAUAGCUCCACCUCGAGAAGGUGCAAAUCACUGCAAUACUACUACCAGUACAAAACAAAUUACCUUUUUCUUGUCCGACACGGACACAAAAGAACUGCUCCAGUUUAUGCAUCUGCAUAUUCAUUGAACGAAGCUUGAAGGGUCUAUGCCAAUGUUAGCAAUAUAAUUCCAUCGGGAAGAGCCCAUAUUGGUAGCUGUUCUUCCUUUCCGUUGGUGGCCGAGGUUGCAGGCAUAGAGGAAAGAAGGC